rnacentral:rRNA from 1 species
AGUGAACGCUGGCGGUAGGCCUAACACAUGCAAGUUGAGCGCCGGCACAUUAAGCGCUUGCUCUUACGGGUGGCGAGUGGCGGACGGGUGAGGAAUACGUCGGAUUCUACUUUUUCGUGGGGGAUAACGUAGGGCAACUUCUGCUACUACCUCAUACGACUUACGGGUGAAAUCAGGUGUUCUUCAUACCUUGCCAUAACUCAUGAGUCGAUGUCCGAUUAGCUAGUUGGUGGGGUAAAGACCCACCAAGGCGACGAUCCGUAGCUGGUCUGAGAGGAUGAUCAGCAACACUGGAACUGAGACACGGUCCAGACUCCUACGGGAGGCAGCAGUGGGGAAUAUUGGACAAUGGGCGCAAGCCUGAUCCAGCCAUACCGCGUGGGUGAAGAAGUCCUUCGAGUUGUAAAGCCCUUUGGUUGGGAAAGAAAAGCAGCAGGUUAAUACCCCGCUGUUCUGACGGUACCCAAAGAAUAAGCAACGGCUAACUUCGUG